rnacentral:rRNA from 1 species
UGGGGAAUAUUGCACAAUGGGGGAAACCCUGAUGCAGCGACGCCGCGUGAGCGAAGAAGUAUUUCGGUAUGUAAAGCUCUAUCAGCAGGGAAGAAAAAGGACGGUACCUGACUAAGAAGCCCCGGCUAACUACGUGCCAGCAGCCGCGGUAAUACGUAGGGGGCAAGCGUUAUCUGGAUUUACUGGGUGUAAAGGGAGCGUAGACGGCUGUGUAAGUCUGAAGUGAAAGCCCGCGGCUCAACUGCGGAACUGCUUUGGAAACUAUACAGCUUGAGUAUCGGAGGGGUAAGCGGAAUUCCUAGUGUAGCGGUGAAAUGCGUAGAUAUUAGGAGGAACACCGGUGGCGAAGGCGGCUUACUGGACGAUAACUGACGUUGAGGCUCGAAAGCGUGGGGAGCAAACAGGAUUAGAUACCCUGGUA